UUCCCAGAAUUCAGAGCCUGCUCUGUCUCCGGGAGCCGCCUCUUGCCUGCACAGUCCAGGCCUCAACCCGAGCCGAAUUCCACCCCUCCCCCACCGCCCCCCUCGCACCCUCCCCGCCCCCCCGUGACAGCUGCACCGGAACUCCAGCAAUUGAUCCCCUAGCCUGGAGAGGGGCGCUUGCCAUUCGAACAUUGUUUUCCUUAAGGUGUAAUCACUGCUGGAAUAUUGCAUCCAGUUCUGGUGCCCACAAUUCAAGAAGGAUGUUGAUAAAUUGCAGAGAGUUCGGCAAGGAGCCACAAGACUCACUAAAAGAUUAGAAACCUGCCUUACGGAGAAAGACUCAAGCUCAAUCACAGAGCUGUGAUCACAGUUUAUAAGUAGUUGCCUGGGGAACAGACACUUGAUAAUGGGCUUUUCAAUCCAGCAAAGGUCUCAUGAGAUCCAGUGGCUGCAAGUUGAAGCUAGACCAAUUCAGACUGGAACCAAGAUGUCAUUUGUUAACAGGAAGAGAAAUUAGCCACUGGAGCAACCUACCACGGUUCCUGGUGGAUUCUCCAUCACUGGCACUUUUUAAAACAAGAUGGAUGGUCCUCUAAAAGCUCUGCUCUGGGAAUUAUCAUGGGGAAGUUCUCUGGCCUGUGCCAUGCAGGUCAGCUGACAUGAUCAGCAUGGUCGCUUCUGGCCUUGGAAUCAAUGGACCUAGGAACAGAAUCCUAGCCAUGAUGGAUUUGAUCCUGGUCUCUCUCCAACGCUCUGAGCCAGAUCCCGCUCCCACUGAAGCCAACGGAACUUUCUAUGGCAACGGGACUGGGCGCUCAGCCCAAAGGGUGUGAAUUUCCCGGACCCAAAGGCAGCAAUGACUGUUACUGACUUCAGUGAGCCUUGGAUCAAGCGCUCAUUACACUUCUCUGCUGGGUCAUUUUCCCCGCCUGCCAUGGGUAGAUUGCUGCAGUUUACCUCGGGACGUGGGUUUUGGAAACGCACCUUAAGUUUACCAUUCAGUCCCUGCUAUUCAAGCUCCUUCGGGCACUGAUAGCUAUAUCUAUCUCCAUAAAAGAUUCCUUUGUGAGGGAAGAGGAGGGAUUUGUUGCACAAAUACAGGCCACGAUCCUGCAAACACUUA